GAUAAACGCUGGCGGCGUGCAUAACACAUGCAAGUCGAACGAUGAAGAUUAAAAGAUUUCUUCGGAAUGAACUUAAUUGGAUUAGUGGCGGACGGGUGAGUAACGCGUGAGUAACCUGCCUUGUACAAGGGGAUAGCCGUUGGAAACGACGAAUAAUACCCUAUGACAUCAAAUAAUCGCAUGAUAAUUUGAUCAAAGAUUUAUCGGUAUAAGAUGGACUCGCGUCUGAUUAGCUGUUGGUAGAGUAAAAGCCUACCAAGGCAACGAUCAGUGGCCGGCUUGAGAGAGUGUACGGCCACAUUGGGACUGAGACACGGCCCAGACUCCUACGGGAGGCAGCAGUGGGGAAUUUUGCACAAUGGGGGAAACCCUGAUGCAGCGACGCCGCGUGAUUUAGAAGGCCUUCGGGUUGUAAAAAUCUUUUGUAUGGGAAGAAAAUGACAGUACCAUACGAAUAAGGACCGGCUAAUUACGUG
rnacentral:rRNA from 1 species